AUAUCUGAGAGACAAAGAUCCAAAUUCCGCCUAUACGAAAAGAAUACACAUGCAUUGUCAUCACAUGCAUCUGCCCUUAUCAAUCUUUGAAGGAGAAACCAGCAUCAGAAGAUCCUUACCCAAAGAAACGGCUUGGUUAUGAAGUUCUGGUGAAGUGGACGCUUCGGUUCGAGGUUCACCUGACCCUGCUAGCGAACGUUAAAUAGUUUGUUGCUUUAUGCACAGUCUCCACAACAGUAGCCUACUUCAUACUUUAUUCACAUUAUUCAUUUUGGACUUUCAAAGAUUGAAUUUCUUUCCAAAAUUAUGAAAUAGAAAUAGACAUUAACAUUUAGUUGCGUGACCACGAAACAUACCACGUGAUCAGUGGGAAGCGCUUUGGCAUUAUGAGAAAUAUCUGAAAGACGUAGAUCCAAAUUCAGCCUAUACGAAAUGAAUACAUAUUCGCCUAAAGUAAAAUGCGCAUGUAGUUGGAUUAGAAUUUAAAGAGAGGUUUGAAUUGACCGUGAUUCACCAAAGCACGGAGAGUGCGAACGCGUCGUUCGCACGCAUAAGGCGGGACGCCAUUUUUCGUCAACCAGACAAUGAAGUUUUUGUGGCAGCACUACUUGGUUAUUGUAUGGAUCAUAGCUGAGAGGCCGCUGAUUCUUUCUUGUGUGUCAGUGAGGUUCCCAAGCAGGGAGCCUGUCUAUGUUGCUCUUGGCAGAACGCUAGUUCUGAAAGCUCAGUUUGAAGUACAGCCUGCAGAAAAGAUUCGCCUGGUGACGUGGGACCAUAAACGCGGCUCCCAGGAGGUCCGGCUCGUCACAAACAACUCCCCGCACAAUAACAGGGUGACUGUGGAGAUGGACCGUCAGCAGCUGCGACUCACUGGAGUGCAGAACAGUGAUUAUGGACACUAUACUGUUAUGGUCACAGAUGACAAGGGGAACCAGAUAUCUGCUUCUGUCGAGGUGCUAAAUGUUCAUAGUCCUCCUGUGGCAUCACUUUCCCUGCAGUGUACUCUGCAAACCAAGGGGGCUCAGUGGGACGUCCCAUCAUAUACAUGGUGGAUGGAUGGCGUGGAGGUUACCAAUUUAACUGCUAACCUGUCAGCAGAUCACAGCACAUUCUACCUCCAGGAGAGUCUGGCCCAGAACUACACGUGCAUUGUCAACAGCAACCAAGGGACCAGCAGGGUGGAAUGUCUGAAAGUAGCUCCUGAUCCAGAUCACAAGAACUGGGGUCUGAUUGCAGCUGUGAUCAUUGAGACAGUGGUCAUUGUUUGUUUCAUUGGCCCCAAAUGGUGCUCCAUGCUCAAGUACACUCAGCAGAACAUGGGAGGAACUAGAACUUCAUGACCAUGUGACCAUGCGAACUUGGCUGUGAACCCCUCUUCUGCAUAUUGCUUUGUGCAAAGAUGAUUUGAUAUAUGCUACGAUAAAUAGUAGCCAAGUGCCAUGGAACUCAGAUCGCAGUUGUUUUGGACUGUCAUCCUUAUGCAAGUUUUAGCCAGCAGCCCAUCCACGUGCUGAUUGGACAGGACCUGAUCCUGCGGGCUCAGCUAGACCUCCCAGCAGGAGACCACAUUACCAAGGUGACUUGGGAGCACGAAGCAGGGAAGAGGGCUUCUCGGAGAAUGAAAGUGGGCGAAUAUCCCAGCCAAGGCUCCGGUGGCAGGGUGGGCGUGAACCACAAUGGAGCUUUGAUUUUACAGAAAUUCCAGAUGGAGGACAGCGGUGUGUACACAAUCACGGUCACAGAUCAGAGGGGAGGCCAAACUUCAGCACACUGCUGAAGUUCCUUUGGUUUCAUUGACCGCAGUGUGUUUGAAGAUGAGGAAAAAAAAACAUUCCUCAAUCGAGAAGUGUGGAAAAUCUCUGGUAUCCACAUAUUGUUUGACUGUUCCUUCUUACUGACUUUCACAUGUUGACAACUGCUCUAUCCUGUACAUUCCAUGUGACUCUGUAUGUGUGUGAGUGAUGUUUGCCCCACUCCAGAGGCCGGGCGUCACGUAUCCGUGAUGGUGAACGUGUCGCACUCGAGUCAGGAGGCGUGGGGCACAGAUCCCACUUUCACCUGGCUGCAUGAGAAGGUGUCCGUUACAGAAGCGUUGGGGCACAUGUCACCUGACGGCAGCUCCCUCUACCUGGCCGGACCGCUCUGUGGACACUUCACCUGCGUGGUGAGCAACAAACUGGGGCACAGCUCUGCCACCUACACAGCAGAGCCCUGUGAACGAGAGAGCGGAGGCACUACUGUAGCUGUGCCUCACGCUCCUGCUAUUUGUGGCUGGAGGUAUGGCCUUCCUGCUCUGGAGGAAACACGAGCAGUACAACAGCAGAAGGGAGAGGCUAGUGGAAUGAAACUCAGAAGGCCCAGUGCAUAUGGGUGUGACCCACAUAACCAAACAAGAAGUAGCGCCCUCUCCCCUGACGAUAUGUGAAUGAAAAGUGUUAUCUAAUGUCCCUCGGUGUGCACAUUAGUUCAUAUUAGUUCAUUUGGUUGACUCUUUCAAAAUGGUUUGAAGAAGGGAAGGAAGCUGAUGAGUCACCAGCCAAAGCUGGUGCAUUUCUGUACUCUCUGUAUUUAUAUAUGUUUUUAAGCACUACCACAUACACGGUUUUAGCUGGAAGUUAUUAAAGAAUAAUGUUUUUUAAAGCUUUGAACUCAGAAGCAGGCUAGCAGAGCCUUUGGAGGACAGGUUCAUCCAAGAACAUGAACAUGAACAUGAAGAUAAUGCACACGUGUCUGAAGUCACUUUUUAUGUAGUCAUUGUGGGCUGGUAUUGUUGUUGCAUGAAAGGCCCAGUGUCUAGUCAAGAACUAUCGGCUUCACUUCAGUACAGCACUAGGGCAGAGGCAACGAAAGCUUUAAAAAAGUGGUUUAAAAAAAAGUCACGAAAUAUCAUAAUUCCUGAUAAUGACUUGCUAUUAUUACAAUAAAACAGAAGGAAAGUGAAAUACUUUUGUUUUAAAUGGAUCUAAAACAACAAAACUGUGACUGCAUCCAUUUCAACAAUUAAAUCUAUUCUAUAAAA